AAAGACCUAGCAAUAGGUAUGCUUAGGGAGGAGCUUGCGUCACAUUAGUUAGUUGGUGGGGUAAAGGCCUACCAAGACUAUGAUGUGUAGCCGGGCUGAGAGGUUGAACGGCCACAUUGGGACUGAGACACGGCCCAAACUCCUACGGGAGGCAGCAGUAGGGAAUUUUCGGCAAUGGAGGAAACUCUGACCGAGCAACGCCGCGUGAACGAUGAAGUAUUUCGGUACGUAAAGUUCUUUUAUUAGGGAAGAAUAAAUGAUGGAAAAAUCAUUCUGACGGUACCUAAUGAAUAAGCCCCGGCUAACUAUGUGCCAGCAGCCGCGGUAAUACAUAGGGGGCAAGCGUUAUCCGGAAUUAUUGGGCGUAAAGGGUGCGUAGGCGGUUAAAUAAGUUUAUGGUCUAAGUGCAAUGCUCAACAUUGUGAUGCUAUAAAAACUGUUUAGCUAGAGUAAGAUAGAGGCAAGUGGAAUUCCAUGUGUAGUGGUAAAAUGCGUAAAUAUAUGGAGGAACACCAGUAGCGAAGGCGGCUUGCUGGGUCUUUACUGACGCUGAGGCACGAAAGCGUGGGGAGCAAACAGGAUUAGAUACCCUGGUAGUCCACGCCGUAAACGAUGAGUACUAAACGUUGGGUAAAACCAGUGUUGAAGUUAACACAUUAAGUACUCCGCCUGAGUAGUACGUACGCAAGUAUGAAACUUAAAGGAAUUGACGGGACUCCGCACAAGCGGUGGAUCAUGUUGUUUAAUUCGAAGGUACCCGAAAAACCUCACCAGGUCUUGACAUGCUUCUGCAAAGCUGUAGAAACACAGUGGAGGUUAUCAGUUGCACAGGUGGUGCAUGGUUGUCGUCAGCUCGUGUCGUGAGAUGUUGGGUUAAGUCCCGCAACGAGCGCAACCCUUAUUGUUAGUUACCAGCACGUAAUGGUGGGGACUUUAGCAAGACUGCCAGUGAUAAAUUGGAGGAAGGUGGGGACGACGUCAAAUCAUCAUGCCCCUUAUGACCUGGGCUACAAACGUGAUACAAUGGCUGUUACAAAGGGUAGCUGAAGCGCAAGUUUUUGGCGAAUCUCAAAAAAACAGUCUCAGUUCGGAUUGAAGUCUGCAACUCGACUUCAUGAAGUUGGAAUCGCUAGUAAUC
rnacentral:rRNA from 1 species